rfam:Medicago truncatula strain A17 chromosome 7, whole genome shotgun sequence.
AUUGUGCAGUGAAGAUACAAUAUGUGGACUAGAGUUUCUGAUCUGGGAAUCUUCACCCAGAAAUUGAUUAUCAAACCCUUGGCUGUCUGAGCACGCAU